GAUUAUAAAGAUUACUCUGACCUGACUGAAGUGGAUUUGGCAGAGCAGGGAGAGUUGGGCGCCCGAAAAAACGUUUUAACCUGCCACAUCUGGCUCUCAAGGCCAGACUGCCGGUCCCUUCGGAGGGUCACAUGAGAAAAACCACACCUCUUACUAUAAUGACUAACACGCAUGAAUAAGCAACAAUAAUGGUAACAAAAACUAAAUAAUAACAAAUGUAGCCAAACCACAUAAACAAAAUUGGAGCAAAAGACCAUCUGAUGGCAACCUUAUAACAAGGGUCAAUGGGAGGGGAUCACGGGCAUUGGCCAAUCAUUCCAAUCGAGGUGCACCCCAGCGCUAGGCUACGGCUAUGGUUAGCUGGGUUCAGAUAUUUGUAUAUCUCCCAAAAACACACACACACACACACACACACACACACACACACACACACACACACACACACACACACACACACACACACACACUGACAGCACGAGCGCAGUACCCUCGCCUAUACGCCUACGGCGUGGGCGAGGGCAAUGACAGACACACACAACAACGGGCCUGCCUGAAAUACGGAUCCACGCGGAUCAAAUGCGGAUCAGGCUGAAAUGCGGAACGCUCGCGGAUCUGUAUUGAAGUACGGAACAACACGGAAACUAUACAGAUCUUUCUGCAAGAAUGAUAGCUAUGCAUCAGGAGAGAAAUUUAUCAGCUCUAUUUGAGUCUUUGAUAGGAACUUUAUCAUCCUUGCAGUUUCAGUACAUGCAGUUGAGAUCUACAGAUAAGCUGAUAUCCUCUUGAGCUAUUCUCUUCAACUUUUGUAAACAUGCAACCUUUGCCUGUGAUAAUAAGAAAACAGACUACUACUAGAUCUAACUACUGAGCAGUCAACACACUCAACAUUAGCUCAGUGUGCCUUCAUGCAGUCAAGAGACAAGUCAAGUUAUUUUAAAGUGCUAUCAUGGCUGUACCCCCCAAGUUCAACAUAGAUGGCAAAGUGGACCAUUGUCUGGGAAUUCCAGUCUUUGUUUUUUUACUUUAUCACUGUUAUUUUCUAAUUAUUAUUAUUCAUUCUGCAUGACUUAUAGAAUUAUUAUAUUUUUAAUCUUUAUUAUCAUUAUUCAGCUAACUACUAUUAUUAUUUAUUCAUUCCAUCAAUCAUUCACAGUCGUAGUCUCUUAAAAUUUUACUAUUAGCUAUUGUUACUGAUUCCUUUUGUUUAUUGAUUUAAUCUCAUUGUAUUUCCCAAUUUCAGUGUACUAUAUGCUUUGGUUUUAUAAUUGCAAAAUCUAA